UACGUAGGGUGCAAGCGUUGUCCGGAAUUAUUGGGCGUAAAGAGCUCGUAGGCGGUCUGUCGCGUCGGCUGUGAAAUCCCGGAGCUCAACUCCGGGCCUGCAGUCGAUACGGGCAGACUGGAGUUCGGCAGGGGAGACUGGAAUUCCUGGUGUAGCGGUGAAAUGCGCAGAUAUCAGGAAGAACACCCGUGGCUAAGGCGGCUCUCUAGUACGGUACUGACGCUGAGACGCGAAAGCGUGGGGAGCGAACAGG
rnacentral:rRNA from 1 species